UUCUGGAUGUGGCGCUGCUA
rnacentral:misc_RNA from 1 species